rnacentral:tRNA from 1 species
ACCUGGUUGGCUCAGUCGGUAGAGCACAUGACUCUUGACCUAGGGAUUGUGAGUUCAAGCCCCACACUGGGUG